UGCGUAGGCGGUUUUGUGUGUCAGAUGUGAAAUCUCACCGUCCAACGGUGAAACGGCAUUUGAAACUGCAGGACUGGAGUACAGGAGGGGAGAGCGGAAUUCUCGGUGUAGCGGUGAAAUGCGUAGAUAUCGAGAAGAACGCCGGUGGCGAAGGCGGCUCUCUGGACUGAUACUGACGCUGAGGCACGAAAGUUGGGGUAGCGAACA
rnacentral:rRNA from 1 species